rnacentral:rRNA from 1 species
GACGAACGCUGGCGGCGUGCUUAACACAUGCAAGUCGAACGGAAAGGCCCUGCUUUUGUGGGGUGCUCGAGUGGCGAACGGGUGAGUAACACGUGAGUAACCUGCCCUUGACUUUGGGAUAACUUCAGGAAACUGGGGCUAAUACCGGAUAGGAGCUCCUGCUGCAUGGUGGGGGUUGGAAAGUUUCGGCGGUUGGGGAUGGACUCGCGGCUUAUCAGCUUGUUGGUGGGGUAGUGGCUUACCAAGGCUUUGACGGGUAGCCGGCCUGAGAGGGUGACCGGCCACAUUGGGACUGAGAUACGGCCCAGACGCCGAAGGGAGGAAGCAGUGGGGAAUAUGGCACAAUGGGCGGAAGCCUGAUGCAGCAACGACGCGGGCGGGAUGACGGCCUUCGGGUUGUAAACCGCGUUCGCCUGUGACGAAGCGUGAGUGACGGUAAUGGGUAAAGAAGCACCGGCUAACUACGUG